UUUGUUCGUUCGGCUCGAGUCA
rnacentral:miRNA from 1 species